UACGGAGGGGGCGAGCGUUAUUCGGAAUUAUUGGGCGUAAAGGGCGCGUAGGCGGCUGCACAAGUCAAAGGUGAAAUCCCUCGGCUCAACUGAGGAACUGCCUUUGAAACUGUGCGGCUUGAGGCCGGGAGGGGGUAGCGGAAUUCCCAGUGUAGCGGUGAAAUGCGUAGAUAUUGGGAGGAACACCAGUGGCGAAGGCGGCAUUCUGGACCGGACAUUGACGCUGAGGAGCGAAAGCCAGGGGAGCAAACGGG
rnacentral:rRNA from 1 species